GGAUGGAUAGCUUAGUGGUUAAGAGCACUAGAUUCUCUUCUAGAGAAUCCAGGUUCAAGUCCUAGCACCCA
rnacentral:tRNA from 1 species